rnacentral:lncRNA from 1 species
CCAGAAAUGAUUUUGACUGAACUCUGUUGACACCUGAAGACUAUUGAGUAAUUCCAGGCACAGAUGAAAAAAGGGCCACUCCAGAAGAGAGAAGAAGGGGAUUACUGGCAGUUUUUGCUUCUUUCUGCAAAUACUAGGCAUGCUGCUUCUAGAAACAGUGAAGAUCAAAGCAGCUAUGGUUGAGGAAUUGUUCAAACUAGAGGCCAGCACAGAGUGGACAUGGGAGCAUUUGCCAGUCGUAGAGUGAUCCAAUCAAUCUCACAGAGACAGAAAUUGAAAAAGGUAAGGCCUGGAAUGCUAUUGUCAUGCUCAGAGUUAGACCUGGAGGACAAGCAUG